CCUCCUGACUGGCGCCGACACUCUGUGUCGUGCAGAGAGUCGGAGGCCGGGAAGUUGUUCAAACUUGAUCAUUUAGAGGAAGUAAAAGUCGUAACAAGGUUUCCGUAGGUGAACCUGCGGAAGGAUCAUUACCGAGUAGCUACCCGCUUGCACCGGCCGCGAGUCGGCGAGUGUGGGGUGUUUACUACCGUGUGAACCGACUGAAAAAAUCUUUAGGGGUCGGCUCGUUCCGUUAAAAGGGGAGCACCGUGACCAACCUCGCGGUGGGCUCCUGCCCCGACGGUGUUUUUACGUGACACAUUUGAUGAAAAGACUGAGCACAGAGAGAGACAUUAUGUUCUGACAUAAAGAAAAAAGGGGUGAUAACUUUUGACGGUGGAUCUCUAGGCUCACGCAUCGAUGAAGAACGCAGCCAGCUGCGAUAAGUAGUGUGAAUUGCAGAAUUCAGUGAAUCAUCGAAUCUUUGAACGCAAAUGGCGCUCUUGGGUUCCCCCAGGAGCAUGUCUGUCUGAGUGUCUUUUUCGUUGGAUGACAUUCGUACGAUGUUGCCGUGUGUUGGCAUGGCGUUUCGUGCGGCGUUGAGGUUCGCGGCCUUGCUAUUCUUGGGCCGCGUGCCUUUAAGUGGAGGAGGAAGAGGGGCUGGAUGUCCGGUGCAGUUGCAUGCGGAUUCAGCUCGUGUGCCGUAUGUGACUGCUGCAUCGGGACGUUGUCCUGGGCCCUCUCUCCCUCGUGACCUCUUAGGGCGACGCUCGUGCGUUGCCUCCUUUCGGACCUCAGAUCAGGCAAGG
rnacentral:rRNA from 1 species